UCAACAAGUCUCAAUAAGAUGUUGGGUUAGGCAGGCUGAUCAACAAGUCUCAAUAAGAUGUUUGGUUAGGCAGGCUGAUCAACAAGUCUCAAUAAGGUGAUGGGUUAGGCAGGCUGAUCAACAAGUCUCAAUAAGAUGUUGGGUUAGUCAGGCUGAUCAACAAGUCUCAAUAAGGUGUUGGGUUAGUCAGGCUGAUCAACAAGUCUCAAUAAGAUGUUGGGUUAGUCAGGCUGAUCAACAAGUCUCAAUAAGGUGUUGGGUUAGUCAGGCUGAUCAACAAGUCUCAAUAAGGUGUUGGGUUAGUCAGGCUGAUCAACAAGUCUCAAUAAGGUGUUGGGUUAGUCAGGCUGAUCAACAAGUCUCAAUAAGAUGUUGGGUUAGUCAGGCUGAUCAGCAAGUCUCAAUAAGAUGUUGGGUUAGUCAGGCUGAUCAGCAAGUCUCAAUAAGAUGUUGGGUUAGUCAGGCUGAUCAGCAAGUCUCAAUAAGAUGUUGGGUUAGUCAGGCUGAUCAACAAGUGUCAAUAAGGUGUUGGGUUAGUCAGGCUGAUCAACAAGUCUCAAGCCUCAAAUACCUUAGUAAUAUAUUCUGUCUAUGGACUCAUGCUACUCAUUUUCACUGGGGGUUGUGUCCCAAAUGGCAACUCAUUCUGCUAUUCUAUAAGUGGAAUAAGGUGCCGUUAGGGAGACAAGCCGUCUCAGAACAUACGCUGUUAAACCAUUGAGUACAUUACUGUGCUGUUACAUAUUUAUAUCAUUUGUAAGUAUGCAUUAUUAUCAUUAUUUUAUAUUUGUAUACAUGCACUAGUUUUUAAGUGUGCAUUAUUUUUCGGGACAUGAAUCAAACUGACGUGUAAAAAAAAAAUAAAGUACUUUUUUGUUAA